GAUGAACGCUAGCUACAGGCUUAACACAUGCAAGUCGAGGGGCAGCAUGGUCUUAGCUUGCUAAGGCCGAUGGCGACCGGCGCACGGGUGAGUAACACGUAUCCAACCUGCCGUCUACUCUUGGACAGCCUUCUGAAAGGAAGAUUAAUACAAGAUGGCAUCAUGAGUCCGCAUGUUCACAUGAUUAAAGGUAUUCCGGUAGACGAUGGGGAUGCGUUCCAUUAGAUAGUAGGCGGGGUAACGGCCCACCUAGUCUUCGAUGGAUAGGGGUUCUGAGAGGAAGGUCCCCCACAUUGGAACUGAGACACGGUCCAAACUCCUACGGGAGGCAGCAGUGAGGAAUAUUGGUCAAUGGGCGAGAGCCUGAACCAGCCAAGUAGCGUGAAGGAUGACUGCCCUAUGGGUUGUAAACUUCUUUUAUAAAGGAAUAAAGUCGGGUAUGGAUACCCGUUUGCAUGUACUUUAUGAAUAAGGAUCGGCUAACUCCGUGCCAGCAGCCGCGGUAAUACGGAGGAUCCGAGCGUUAUCCGGAUUUAUUGGGUUUAAAGGGAGCGUAGAUGGAUGUUUAAGUCAGUUGUGAAAGUUUGCGGCUCAACCGUAAAAUUGCAGUUGAUACUGGAUAUCUUGAGUGCAGUUGAGGCAGGCGGAAUUCGUGGUGUAGCGGUGAAAUGCUUAGAUAUCACGAAGAACUCCGAUUGCGAAGGCAGCCUGCUAAGCUGCAACUGACAUUGAGGCUCGAAAGUGUGGGUAUCAAACAGGAUUAGAUACCCUGGUAGUCCACACGGUAAACGAUGAAUACUCGCUGUUUGCGAUAUACAGCAAGCGGCCAAGCGAAAGCGUUAAGUAUUCCACCUGGGGAGUACGCCGGCAACGGUGAAACUCAAAGGAAUUGACGGGGGCCCGCACAAGCGGAGGAACAUGUGGUUUAAUUCGAUGAUACGCGAGGAACCUUACCCGGGCUUAAAUUGCAGAUGAAUUACGGUGAAAGCCGUAAGCCGCAAGGCAUCUGUGAAGGUGCUGCAUGGUUGUCGUCAGCUCGUGCCGUGAGGUGUCGGCUUAAGUGCCAUAACGAGCGCAACCCUUGUUGUCAGUUACUAACAGGUUCCGCUGAGGACUCUGACAAGACUGCCAUCGUAAGAUGUGAGGAAGGUGGGGAUGACGUCAAAUCAGCACGGCCCUUACGUCCGGGGCUACACACGUGUUACAAUGGGGGGUACAGAGGGCCGCUACCACGCGAGUGGAUGCCAAUCCCCAAAACCUCUCUCAGUUCGGACUGGAGUCUGCAACCCGACUCCACGAAGCUGGAUUCGCUAGUAAUCGCGCAUCAGCCACGGCGCGGUGAAUAUGUUCCCGGGCCUUGUACACACCGCCCGUCAAGCCAUGGGAGCCGGGGGUACCUGAAGUGCGUAACCGCGAGGAGCGCCCUAGGGUAAAACUGGUGACUGGGGC
rnacentral:rRNA from 1 species